rnacentral:lncRNA from 1 species
GUAAAUUUGAGUAGAAACAAAAGAAUGUGGGGAGUUUAUCUAACUAGCUUGUUCACUCAUGUGGUCCUAAGACUCACCUUUGAUCUACCUGGAUGGUCAGUCAAGCUGGCAAAGCAGAAUAUCUGUGUGUCAGUGUACUUUAUUCACCCGUUGUUGUGUCAGGACCUGCAGGACAGACCCCCACAGCCGGUGCCCCAUGUGAGGAUCGCUGCAAAGGGAGCGUGACAGACCCCAUGAAAACGAAGGUUGAGGAAGACUGCGUGGUCAAGUCAGUAAAACAGGGAGAGAACAUGUAUAAAUCACGGCAAUGCAAGUGCUCACUACAGAACCUGCAGGAGGAGCAAGUGCACAACUGAGAGAAGGCAGCGCCCUGCCCGAGGAAGCAGGUGCCCUGAGAUCAUCCCCUGGGAACUGUGCUCUAGGUGCCGUGCGCCAGUGGAACCUGGGCUGGGGCCUGGGAUUUGUAGGUGGUGUGGAGAGCAGAGCACAGCUCCAUUCCUCCUCACUGUGUGACCUGGGAUGUGGCAUCUUCCUCUGAGCUUCAUUCGGACAAGGUGUUAAUAUAAAAUUGCAGCAUUAAAUUUACCUAUAACCUUUCAAUUAGGAGCCAGUGCUGUUCAGAAUUGUUAUCACUACUGUUGUCCAAACCCUUAAAUAUUAUAAAAUACCUGUGUGACCCCUCAUCUCAGACCUCAGAUGACCACAUUGCAGAGAAGACACCUGCUUUGUUUCUGUCACGAACAUGGUAUUAGAACGGGAAAGUAUGUGUAACCUUGUUAUAGAUUUCAUGUUAAUUAAGUUACAAUGGGUAAAAUUAGAAUUAGUAAGUGAUACUUAAAAUUUAGCUUUGGGGAUUUCUAAGCAAAGUGUGGAUGGUGUGUUUUGAUUUCUCCUUGCUUAAUAUAGUAUAAUGUGAGAGGAGGAGACAAAUUAAAGAAGAAACUAUCCAGCAAUGUGGAAUCAGGUAUUUUAUAAAUAAAGAAGGUUCUCACCUCUUCUGAAAACCCCAUAACCUUAAAAAAAUGAAGGAACUUUAAGACAUAUUUCUAUAUUCUGGAUACAUGACUAAUAAAAACAUAUUUAAGUGCAAAAAGAGAUACACAGAAGAUGAAACUUCUGCAGCAGAUAAUUUUGCCAAAUAGCUUUAUACUAGUUUGUAAUUUUACCUAAAUAUUCAAAAGAUAAACUCCAGAGAGAUCCAAAUAAGAAAUUAUAACAUUUCAAUGUUAGAUGACUGGUUGAGAGGCGCUUGAACUAACAUUAUUUUGAUGAAUCAUACCUCAAUAAUAAAACUGUGUCUAAUGGUACACUGUUCAAGAGGCUACUUGAGUAUAUAGUUUCUACCUCUCCUAUUUGGGAGUCCUGGCACAACCCAACGUUCUCUAAACCUGGGGGCCACUAAGAACAGAGACAGAAGUUGGAAUAUUAUGAAGUCAUUAUGAAGU